AUAGCUUUAUCAAGCACUAUGCCUUGGAUGUCAAGGAUAGGAGGGAAGCAACUAUCAAGCAGUUAUUCAAUCUCUGUUCCCACGAAGAGCAUCACCCCUCCUCUUAGCGGCUGUGGUGAAGAAAAAAUGUAGGAGAAAAGUACCAUGUAAGCUGCUUUGGAUCCCCAUUGAGGAGAAAGGCAGAAACCCAUCGAGAAGAAGCAACAAUGGGGAGAAAUAUCUCUUGGAAGAUGGCAGCAGGGAGGAAUGCUCCCAGGAAGUUGGCAACGGGUGCGCUAGCCCUUAGUACAUCCCGUUUCGCUCUGCUUCUUCAAACCAAUCCUUACAACUGCCUAUAAUAUAAAACAUUAGACU